rnacentral:rRNA from 1 species
CCUACGGGUGGCAGCAGUGGGGAAUAUUGCGCAAUGGGCGCAAGCCUGACGCAGCGACGCCGCGUGAGGGAUGAAGGUCUUCGGAUCGUAAACCUCUGUCAGCAGGGAAGAACGGUCACUGUGCUAAUCAGCAGUGAAUUGACGGUACCUGCAAAGGACGCACCGGCUAACUCCGUGCCAGCAGCCGCGGUAAUACGGAGGGUGCGAGCGUUAAUCGGAAUUACUGGGCGUAAAGCGCUCGUAGGCGGUAUGUCAAGUCAAGGGUGAAAUCCCCGGGCUCAACGUGGGAACUGCCUUUGAAACUGGCAAACUGGAGUGUGUGAGAGGAUAGUGGAAUUCCAGGUGUAGGAGUGAAAUGCGUAGAUAUCUGGAGGAACAUCAGUGGCGAAGGCGACUAUCUGGCACAUAACUGACGCUGAGGAGCGAAAGCGUGGGUAGCAAACAGGAUUAGAUACCCCAGUAGUC